UACGUAGGGUGCAAGCGUUAAUCGGAAUUACUGGGCGUAAAGCGUGCGCAGGCGGCUUUGCAAGACAGAUGUGAAAUCCCCGGGCUUAACCUGGGAACUGCAUUUGUGACUGCAUGGCUGGAGUGCGGCAGAGGGGGAUGGAAUUCCGCGUGUAGCAGUGAAAUGCGUAGAGAUGUGGAGGAAUACCGAUGGCGAAGGCAGCCCCCUGGGCCAAUACUGACGCUCAUGCACGAAAGCGUGGGGAGCAAACAGG
rnacentral:rRNA from 1 species